CAGUGCUCUUCUCAGGAAGAGAUAAUAGGAAAUCGGAUGAAAGUUCCGAGCGAUCCAGUCACUGUGAACGGGGAGCUGUCCGCGAAAUCCCAUUGCGAAAGCGAGAAGGGGCGGAUAAGCGGUGAGCCGUCAGCCAGGAAGCCUGCUGUACA
rnacentral:ncRNA from 1 species